GGGGUAGUAGGUUAAUGGGAAACCACUUGAUUGUCACUCAAGGAAUGCGGGUUCGAUUCCUGCCUACUCCA
rnacentral:tRNA from 1 species